UGGUUCUGGCAUCGAUGAAGAACGCAGCAAAAUGCGAUAAGUAGUGUGAAUUGCAGAAUUCAGUGAAUCAUCGAAUCUUUGAACGCACAUUGCGCCCUUUGGUACUCCACUGGGCAUGCCUGUUCGAGCGUCAUUUCAAGCCUUCAAGCCCUGCUUGGUGUUGGGCGCCUGUCCCGGGAGGGACUCGCCUCGAAUCGAUUGGCGGCUGGCAGGCGGUCCCGAGCGCGGUACGAUUGCGCCGCGGGCCCGCGCUGCCGGCGCUCCAGAAGCCACCCCACGGUUUGACCUCGGAUCAGGUAGGGAUACCCGCUGA
rnacentral:misc_RNA from 1 species